rnacentral:sRNA from 1 species
GCUAGCAGAGAAGUACCGAGAGUGCCUAUCUAACAAGGAGAAGAUUCUCAAGGAGAUUGAGGUGAAGAAGGAGUACCUGAGUAGCCUCCAGCCCCGCCUCAACAGCAUCAUGCAGAUAAGACGUUAUCUGUGGCAAUCGAAGGCAGUGUGGAUGAAGCCAAGGCUCUGUUCAAACCUCCAGAGGACUCCCAAGAUGACGAGAGUGACUCAGAUGCCGAGGAGGAGCAGACUACGGUGAGAACCAUUUCCUCUUGUGGGGGCAUCAAGCAGCUGCAUGCACUGGGGCAUGCUUGUUCGCAGGUGCCGUCCUCCCUAGAAGCAGAAGAGGUUUGAAAGAAGGUGCUGCUGGGAGGGGAGUCUGACAACCCAGCUAGCUGAAGCAGCAGAAGCGCCGGAGACCCACACUGGGGGUUCAGUUGGACGACAAACGCAAGGAGAUGCUGAAGAGGCACCCACUGUCUGUCAUGCUCGACCUGAAGUGCAAAGAUGACAGUGUGCUUCACCUGACUUUCUACUACCUCAUGAACCUCAACAUCAUGACAGUAAAAGCCAAAGUGACAACUGCCAUGGAGCUGAUCACCCCCAUCAGUGCAGGUGACUUGCUGUCUCCUGACUCAGUCCUGAGUUGCUUGUAUCCUGGGGAUCAUGGAAAGAAAACUCCGAAUCCAGCCAAUCAGUAUCAGUUUGAUAAAGUUGGCAUCCUGACUUUGAGCGACUAUGUACUUGAGCUAGGUCACCCCUAUUUGUGGGUGCAGAAGCUGGGUGGCCUCCACUUCCCCAAAGAGCAGCCCCAGCAAACAGUGAUUGCUGACCACUCGCUGAGCGCCAGCCACAUGGAGACCACCAUGAAACUUCUGAAGACCAGGGUGCAGUCCCGCCUGGCCCUCCACAAACAGUUUGCAUCCCUAG